UACAGAGGCCCCAAGCGUUACUGAGAAUCACUGGGUUUAAAGGGUGCGUAGGCGGUUCCAUAAGUCAGUGGUGAAAUACGGCAGCUCAACUGUCGAGGUGCCAUUGAUACUGCGGAACUUAAGUGUUGAUGAGGCAGGCGGAAUUGACGGUGUAGCGGUGAAAUGCUUAGAUAUCGUCAAGAACACCGAUAGCGAAGGCAGCUUGCCAAGCAACAACUGACGCUCAGGCACGAAAGUGCGGGGAUCAAACAGG
rnacentral:rRNA from 1 species